rnacentral:lncRNA from 12 species
UCUUGUCAAACGAAGAUACAAUUAACUGUAAUGGUGGAAAACUGCCUGAUUAGAUUAUGGCACCGUCAGUGUCCUACAGAAAGGCUGGCAGACGCAUUGAGAGUGAUUGCCUGACCGCUAGCAAAAUAGAUCUCCUUUUCAAGGUAGAAGUAACUCCCACAUAGCUGAAAAGAAACUUUCUCAUCUUAAAGCAUGUCAGCAUGAGUGUCUUGAAAACAGAAGCUGAGAGAAGGGAUUUUCCAAAGAUGGAAGAGUGUCUGGAAAGAACAGAAGGAUGCCAGAGGAGCCAUAAACAUUUCUUUUGAAAUGUUGCUUAAGACAGAUCGUGCCUUUUAAGACCAAAUUAAAAAAGAAAAAUAGGCCAUUUUCUGAAGGGCUCAAUAAGACCAAGAGUCAUAGAGGCCCUGUAUUCAGAAAUUGAAGCAACUUGCUGGGCACAAGCAAACCUGCUUGGGUUACCUAUUGAUGCUGAUGACAUCUGAUGUGGGAUUCGAGCAGCCUUCUCCUCACCCAUCCACUCCCCAGGCUUGUAACUCAGGGGUUUUAUAAACCGACUUCCUUCUCUCUUUCCCUGUGCUUGUUCUGACCAAAUACAUUAUUCUGGCUUAGGAGGUAUUGGGCUUGUAUUUAUCAAAUAAAAAAUGUCUAUGGAGAAUUUUGCUCA